rnacentral:misc_RNA from 1 species
UCCGGUUUGUCACCGGCAGUCUCCUUAGAGUUCCCACCUUUACGUGCUGGCAACUAAGGACAAGGGUUGCGCUCGUUGCGGGACUUAACCCAACAUCUCACGACACGAGCUGACGACAGCCAUGCAGCACCUGUGUUCCGAUUCCCGAAGGCACUCCCGCAUCUCUGCAGGAUUCCGGACAUGUCAAGGCCAGGUAAGGUUCUUCGCGUUGCAUCGAAUUAAACCACAUACUCCACCGCUUGUGCGGGCCCCCGUCAAUUCCUUUGAGUUUCAGUCUUGCGACCGUACUCCCCAGGCGGCGAACUUAACGCGUUAGCUUCGACACUGAGCACCUAAGUGUGCCCAACGUCCAGUUCGCAUCGUUUAGGGCGUGGACUAC